CGCAGGAUAGAGCAGUUGGUAGCUCGUCGGGCUCAUAACCCGAAGGUCGCUCGUUCGAGUCGAGCUCCUGCUA
rnacentral:tRNA from 2 species